UAGGGAAUCUUCGGCAAUGGACGAAAGUCUGACCGAGCAACGCCGCGUGAGUGAAGAAGGUUUUCGGAUCGUAAAACUCUGUUGUUAGAGAAGAACAAGGACGUUAGUAACUGAACGUCCCCUGACGGUAUCUAACCAGAAAGCCACGGCUAACUACGUGCCAGCAGCCGCGGUAAUACGUAGGUGGCAAGCGUUGUCCGGAUUUAUUGGGCGUAAAGCGAGCGCAGGCGGUUUCUUAAGUCUGAUGUGAAAGCCCCCGGCUCAACCGGGGAGGGUCAUUGGAAACUGGGAGACUUGAGUGCAGAAGAGGAGGGGGGAAUUCCAUGUGGAGCGGUGAAAUGCGUGGAUAUAUGGAGGAACACCAGUGGCGAAGGCGGCUCUCUGGUCUGUAACUGACGCUGAGGCUCGAAAGCGUGGGGAGCAAACAGG
rnacentral:rRNA from 1 species